GACGAACGCUGGCGGCGUGCCUAAUACAUGCAAGUCGAACGCAGUGGGGACGGGUGAGUAACACGUGGGUAACCUCCCAUCAGAGGGGAUAACACUUGGAAAAAGGUGCUAAACCGAUACAGAUGGAUGGAACCGCGGUGCAUUAGCUAGUGGGUGAGGUAAAGGCGCACAAAGGCAACGAUGCAUAGCCGACCUGAGAGGGUGAUCGGACACACUGGGACUGAUACACGGCCCAGACGCCUACGGGAGGCAGCAGUAGGGAAUCUGCGGCAAUGGACGAAAGUCUGACCGAGAAACGCCGCGUGAGUGAAGAAGGUUUUCGGAGCGUAAAACUCUGGUGUUAGAGAAGCGGUAUCUAACCAGAAAGCCACGGCUAACUACGGGCCAGCAGCCGCGGUAAUAC
rnacentral:rRNA from 1 species